rnacentral:lncRNA from 1 species
UCCCAAGUCACUGCAUCCUUACUCAAAACAAGUCUUUAAAACCUGAAAACUUUCGGAAUAAAACUAUUUUCUUUUGCAAAAAAAAAUUCGAUGGGGCUAAAGGUAUGGGGAGGUAGGAUUGUACUAAAGAUCUACUAUAUUUGGUGACUCGUCAAACUCAUGCAUUAUACUAAAAAGAAAAAUAAACGACUAAAAGGAAAUAACAAUAAAUAAACUAUCUUAAAACAGCAAAGAAAAAGCAAAAAAGGAAAAACGAGAAAAGCAAUAAAAAAAAGACGAUAGAGUCUCCUCCCACACUUAAAUCGAACAUUGUCCCCAAUGUUUCGAAAUAAGAUAAGGGAAGAGUUACCUGAUAACCUAUUUCUGACCACUAGUG